ensembl:ncRNA lncRNA:CR44923 long non-coding RNA:CR44923
GGCUGUAAAUUAUGUAAUCACUCGGAGGUCCCACGCAGUCGCCGGACUUUCGAUUUAUGAGCUUGUGCUCUUUAUUGAAUCAGUGGUCAAAGCUAAACUGAAAAACUUAUCUGACUGUACUAAAGCUAACAGCAUAUCUUACCAUAUAACGGUGUUUAUGCUGAAUCUGCUUGUAAAGAUUCUAUGGUGAUCUAAUUAUCACCCAAGACCGACUUAAGUUUACUCAUUAAUUGUCUUAACUACUCCCCCCUUAGAAGUAUGACCGUCCUCGGUCAUCUGGAACUUGUCAACCGACUUGUCGUAUCUCUCGUGCAUCUCGUCUCCUCCUCCCACGCAGCCCCGUUAACCAGAUGUCGGUAGUUCCAGCCGCUUUCACUUUGUAACGUGUUACGAAAUAAAUUGAUGAAAGGCAACCUGUAUUUGCGGGUACACGCUUUAGAAUUCGACUCUAGCUCAUGGCGUUGGGUGUGGUGGUCGUUAUUGUACAAAUACCUUUUAGCUACAGACAUUUAUGAAUAAGAUCAAGAAUUGAGUGUGCUUACAACAACAAAAUGGAGGAACUAGUAUACAAAAUCAGAGGACGCAAAUUAAUAUAUUCGAAAGGAGACAGUUCUAGAAGAAGAGGAAAAGCUUGAGAAUUGGUUGCUAGCGAAACACCGCUGUAGUCGUGUUCACGGAUUGCCCUACCCUACCUAUGACCGCUUACCUUAAGAGCAUGGCUCUAGUGGCCCCUUUGUGCCCUAUGUCCUGAGAAACAUCAGCCCAGUUUAGUAUUUAUAUUUUUAGAAAUUCAUUUUUUUUUUCAUUCAUG